CAGCAGCCGCGGUAAAACGGAGGGUGCAAGCGUUAAUCGGAAUUACUGGGCGUAAAGCGCACGCAGGCGGUCUGUCAAGUCAGAUGUGAAAUCCCCGGGCUUAACCUGGGAACUGCAUUUGAAACUGGCAGGCUAGAGUCUUGUAGAGGGGGGUAGAAUUCCAGGUGUAGCGGUGAAAUGCGUAGAGGUCUGGAGGAAUACCGGUGGCGAAGGCGGCCCCCUGGACCUGUACUGACGCUCAUGCACGAAAGCGUGGGGAGCAAACAGGAUUAGAGACCCCUGUAGUCCCUGUCUCUUAUAC
rnacentral:rRNA from 1 species